rnacentral:lncRNA from 1 species
CUAUUCGUGGAGGAAGUGCGGGGCCAUGUGGAACAGGGCUGGAUUUACUGUCUGGAGUGCACUGGCAGCCCUUAACAGUUUUCACAAAAUGUAAACUAGAAGUAAUAAUCCCUGCUUCCCAAGGAUGACAGAGAAUAGAAAUGAGUUCGGUUCCUUAAAGGCGCUUGCAUUCAGAAGCUGACAUACGCAAAAGAAAGGAAACCGGAAAGGCCCAGAGUGCUGAUGGAGUAAGUGAAGGCAGAGCCUUGAGGAAAUUUUUUUCUCGGCUCUUCAUCAUGAAGACCUCGGGAGAUUUCUGGAGGUAAAACCUGUGGAAAUAUGGAGGCACCUCUAAGACUGUUGUCCCCAGGAGUUUCUCAUUCUCACACUAGAUGACACUCAGCCUCCAUCAGCUCACCAAAAUUACCAUUUAGUUGCUUCUAUCAGUUGUGGCUGCACAGGUUUGUGCUCCAGGUGCCUGGAACCUGCUAUUUUGAGGACCUCAAGAAGAGAGGAAUCUACCAAAAUCUGUAGGUUUUGUUUUCUAUCUGUAAACUGGACUGGAUCCUAAUUCUUCUAGUGUCCUGAAAUAUCUUGCUACAAAUCUCCCAACUAAUGUUUUCAAAUUUUUUCCCGUCAUUUUCAUUGGAAAUCAUUGAGAACUAAAACUGACCUUUUUCCUGAAUCCCUCCAAACUGAAGCUGGACAACUUGAUAUAAACUUAAGAGAGAUUCAUGUCUGUUGCUGUGUAAGCCACUCAGGAAGAUACCUGAACACCCAGUGACCUCAGAGACAUUUCAAACUGCCAAAGAUGCUUUGACUCUGACAUCUAGAGAUCUUUUUGGCUGGCUGCCCCCUUGGCUCAGAAAGUGGAAUGUGAUGAUCCCAGACAGAGAGUCUAUGCUGAUAACCAUCAUUGAAUGACAACUGAAAGAUCUGGUGUGGUGACUCCUAGUCUGUAACACGAGAAAGUCAACAUUCCUGACUCCCUCCCCUAAAACCCACUGGCCUAUAUAACUGCUUCAAGAUUCUUGUGCCCUCCUUAAGAUGGUUCUUUAGGACACUAUUCCUCCCAUCUUCCAAUUUGCUAGCAUAUUGCUUAAUAAAAUGCCCUUUUUCUGCCACGAUCUUGCCUCUUGACAAUUGGCUUUUGUCUUGUGGCAAGUAGAUUGUGCCAUUUGUGCAGUAAUGUACACACAAUAUUUCUAAGUGUUGGUAUGAAAAAAGAAUG